rnacentral:sRNA from 2 species
AAUAGGAGUACGCAGGCUAAGAACGCCACGUCCUGUGGCAACGCCAGCAUGAGCUACAUCAUGCUGG